UACGUAGGCAGCAAGCGUUGUUCGGAGUUACUGGGCGUAAAGGGUGUGUAGGCGGUUUUCUAAGUCUGGUGGGAAAUCUCCCGGCUCAACUGGGAGGGUGCGCCGAAAACUGGAAGGCUAGAGUGCGGGAUGGGAGAGUGGAAUUCCUGGUGUAGCGGUGAAAUGCGUAGAUAUCAGGAAGAACCCCAAUGGCGAAAGCAGCUUUCUGGGACGGUACUGACGCUGAGACGCGAAAGCGUGGGGAGCGAACAGG
rnacentral:rRNA from 1 species